rnacentral:rRNA from 1 species
GACGAACGCUGGCGGCGUGCUUAACACAUGCAAGUCGAACGGAAAGACCCUGCUUUUGUGGGGUGCUCGAGUGGCGAACGGGGGAGUAACACGUGAGUAAACUCCCCUUGACUUUGGGGUAACUUCAGGGAACUGGGGCUAAUACCGGAUAGGAGCUCCUGCUGCAUGGUGGGGGUUGGAGAGUGUCGGCGGUUGGGGAUGGUCUCGCGGCUUAUCAGCUUGUUGGUGGGGUAGUGGCUUACCAAGGCUUUGACGGGUAGCCGGCCUGAGAGGGUGACCGGCCACAUUGGGACUGCGAGACGGCCCAGACUCCUACGGGCGGCAGCAGUGGGGAAUAUUGCGCAAUGGGCGGACGUCUGAUGCAGCAAUGCUGCGUGCGUGAUGACGGCCUUCGGGUUGUAAACCGCUUUCGACUGUGACGAAGAGUGAGUGACGGUAAUGGGUAAAGAAGCACCGGCUAACUACGUG